rnacentral:rRNA from 1 species
CGCGUGGGAACGUGCCCUUCUCUACGGAAUAGCCUCUGGAAACGGAGAGUAAUACCGUAUACGCCCUUUGGGGGAAAGAUUUAUCGGAGAAGGAUCGGCCCGCGUUAGAUUAGGUAGUUGGUGGGGUAACGGCCUACCAAGCCUACGAUCUAUAGCUGGUUUUAGAGGAUGAUCAGCAACACUGGGACUGAGACACGGCCCAGACUCCUACGGGAGGCAGCAGUGGGGAAUCUUAGACAAUGGGGGCAACCCUGAUCUAGCCAUGCCGCGUGAGUGAUGAAGGCCUUAGGGUCGUAAAGC